rnacentral:tmRNA from 1 species
GGGGAUGAUUUUGGUUUCGACCGGAAGCAUGGAUUCCUAGGAGCAUGUCGAGGUGCGGGGCCUCGUAAAAAAUUCGCAUUAAAAUAGUCGCAAACGACGAAACCUACGCUUUGGCAGCUUAAUAACCUGCGCAUAGCCCUCAGUUCUAAGCCUUUCUAGUGACGCUUAGUCUUACUGGGGUCGGUUUUCACUAGAUCGAACGGAAGCCCCGUCUGAGGUGGAAGUUUUAAAGAUUUUUUCAGACUGGACAUUAUGUGGCGUGGCGGUCCGCAGCAGGUGUUGAGAUCAAUGAUUGCCUAAACAUGUAGCGCCGAAGAUGAAGUCUUUUGGGACGAGGGUUCGAGUCCCUCCAUCUCCACCA